AUGAGAGAAACUAAUAAAAAGAAGUUUGAUGUAUCGACUUACCGCAUAUAUUUUAACUGAAAUAUACAGCAUCUGAAAGAAUAUAAAUUGUAUUGCCCUUCAAGACCAUUUGUGUUCUUUGCGUAUGCAACAGUCUUCGUAAGCGAUAAAUAUUUUGAUAUACCCUGUAAAAAAUAAAUUUCCUGAUAAUUUCAUACGGCAUAAAAACAUGACACAUGCCUGGUUGAAAAUUAAAAAAAAAAAAAAGAAAACAGAGUAAAUAAUGCAUUCAAAAUGUUGCAGGGCUUGGUAAAAAAAAGCUGCAUUAUACAUUCCAGGUUUUUGUUGUUAAUA